UUGGUGAUCUAAAAUGGCGGCAGUCCAGUCCUGCUUAUAACACCUUCUCCACUGCCUUGUCCACCUCCUGCUCCACCUCAACAUUCUCCACAGCCUUCCCCUUGACCUGCACGGCCUACUAAACGCUCGUCGUUGCCCAACACGCGUUAAUAUUAAGCCAUUAGACGGAAGAUAUUGUGGGCCAUGGUGCCAAGUUGUGAUUUUCAAGGGUGGUUUAAGCGCCAAGUGUCUACGAGAGUGCCACAAAGGGUAUGGCCGUAGUAUUCAAGGGCCAUGGACCACCGAAGGGCCAUUAGAGGGAAGAUACUGUGUGCCAUGGUGCCAAGUGUACGAGGGUGCCACAGAGAGUUAGGUAGACGCCCCUGCCAUGGCCUUACUCAACCAGGGCCAUGGACCACCGGAGGGCCAUUGGAGGGGAGAAAUAAUGGUCCAUAGUGCCGUAUUUUGUGAUUUUCAAGGAGUAGCUGUGAAUGGCCUCAAUGAAGAAUGCGAGAAGUCUGAACAUGAGAUACAGGAGGAGGAGGAGGAGGAGGAGGGCCUGAUACGACAAGAAUGUGGCUUCACCUACAGGGGAUGCAUUUGAGAUUAAGGAGUAGCUGUGAAUGGCCUCAAUGAAGAACAUGAGACACAAGCAAAGAUAGGAGGAGGAGGAAUACAUACAUAGGAAGAAUACAUAGGAAGAACAGACACCAGAAGACCUAUCGGUCUAUGGCGAGGGUGUCUGUUUAAGGAGGAGGAGAGAAGGAGGAGGGCCUGAUACAACAUGAAAGCCUUCCCAAAUGUGUGUGUGUAUUUACCUAGUUGUAUUUACCUAGUUGUAGUUUUACAGGGCCUGGGCAUUAUGCUCGUGUGGUCCCGUCUCCGUGUCUGCAUUUAUCCAAC